GCGGGAGUGGCGGAACGGCAGACGCACCAGAUUCAGGUUCUGGCGCUGUAACAGGUGUGUGGGUUCAAAUCCCAUCUCCCGCACCA
rnacentral:tRNA from 1 species